rnacentral:lncRNA from 1 species
GAUAAUUGUGGAUUGGGAUGUUGUUGAGUACUUAGAACCUCAAUUUGGUUUCUCUAUUUCAUAUAUAUGAUCUCUUAGAUCUGCUCUUGCUGUUAUAUAGGUGUUGUGUUCUGAUUGACCAGGAAAAUAGGGUGGUCAUCGAUCCUCGACGGACUCAAGAUAUCCAUUAAGGCCAGGUCCUUUUUUGGAUCAUGACAGUCCUACGAUAUGACCCCCUUCACCAGAUGUAAAAUUUCACUAUUCUUUAUUAAAUCAGGGGAAAACUGGCCCUUUCACCCCAUGUAGCUCUCCCAAUCCAUUUUAAAUCCUUAGAAUUAUCCUAAACUAUUAAGAUCAUUCUUAAAUCCCUAAUAUCUCCUCUCUUCUAAGAACCCCAAACUCCC